rnacentral:lncRNA from 1 species
AGAGCUCUCAGUGAUGCUGAUUUGCAAGCCUUGAAUCAAGAGGAGCCAAAGCUUCUUGCAAGAUCCCAAAGCCAUAAAACAUUUGGUGAGCUACCUAGUUUUGAGACUAAACCUCCCUUGCCAAAAAGUGGUGGCCACAAAUUACGAACUGCGGGUGCCAUAAAAGUAAAAGUUAUGUAUAGAGAAGAUAAGGUACGGUUGAGUUUGCAACCAAGCUGGGGUUUCAAAGACCUGCAACAAGAGAUUGGUAGGCGUUUCAACAUCGAAGAUGUCAGCAGAAUUGAUCUCAAAUACUUGGACGAUGACGAGGAGUGGGUUCUUUUGACAUGUGAUGCUGACCUUGAGGAAUGCGUUGAUAUAUAUAAAUCAUCCCAAAG